GACAGAGGGUGCAAACGUUGUUCGGAAUUACUGGGCGUAAAGCGUGUGUAGGCGGUCCACUAAGUCGGAUGUGAAAGCCCUGGGCUCAACCCAGGAAGUGCACUCGAAACUGGCGGGCUAGAGUAUCGGAGAGGUUGGUGGAAUUCUCGGUGUAGAGGUGAAAUUCGUAGAUAUCGAGAGGAACACCGGUGGCGAAGGCGGCCAACUGGACGAAUACUGACGCUGAGACCCGAAAGCGUGGGGAGCAAACAGG
rnacentral:rRNA from 1 species